rnacentral:lncRNA from 1 species
AAAAUUUUCAAAACGAGAUGAUCUUGUACUAUCUAUAUGAGAAGCAAAACUGUCUUUAUUGGCAUUUUCCAGAAUUUAAUACAAGGUGGACUAUCUGUCAAGAAUUUAUGGCAGAUGAGUUAAUUGAACUCUGCCAUGAAAAUUUAGGUGAUAUGUAUCAUUUAUGGUAUCUACCUAUCCUAUAUGGAGUACUAAUAAAUAAUGCAAAUUUUACGUUAGGUGGUUUCCAACUAGUGCUUCAAAAGGGCCGUUUGAGAGAGGGUCCCAGUUUUCUGCAUUUCAAAAACACAACUUCUGUUGGAUUUGAAAUUUAUUGAGG